CCCGCCCCCAGACAGGGAGGGCAUUUGUGCAGGUGCAGGAUGGGUGAGGCAGGCAGUUGUGCCAGUCUCUAGGGCACACAGAACUGUUUGGAUUGUGUCACUCAUUUGCACAAAAAACUUCACACACACACAAAAAACAAUCCUCAUUUGUUACAAGACUGCCCGUGAUCUGACUGCUGUGUGUCCAAACUCAUUUAGUCUUCUCGCCUUGUGCAUCGUGUCCAGUCACCGUGGCCUCCCUGCUGUUCCCGGCAUGUCUGGCCCAUUCCUGCCUCAGGACAUUUGCACCUGCUGUUUCCCAGGCUUAGAGCUCUUUCCUUCCGGUUACUAGCAUGUCUCACUCCGUCAUCUCCUUCAGGUUUUCACUUAGAGUCUGUCUCCUCACCUCAGUGAGGCCCCUCCUGAGCAUCCUGUCCCCUGUUACGAUAUGAUACGAAGGGUACGUCACCUCGGGGGCAGUCUUUUCCGAUAUGCAGAACCCCAGCCUGGGAACAACAUCAGACGACUCCCACCGAGGGGCACUUGGCACUGCUCACACCUGUCAAAGCCGUGAAAACCCAGGGUGGCUGGGGAACUGGUGCAGACCAGAGGGGGGUCGCUCAGGGGACGUGACGAGGCAGUGGGUGUGCCGGGUGAGGUCCGGGAGCAGGAGGGGGACGCCAGUGGAGCGUCUGGUGACAUCGGGACUGGGUCUGGAGUUCUGCUGGUGAUGUGGCAGCCUUGGUGUGCCACAGGGAACCUGAGGGCUCUGUGCCGUCUUUGCAUCAUCUCUGUAAGUCUAGAAUAUUCUAAAGCAAACUUUCUGUUUGAAAGAGUCCGAGUUUCCAUUGCCUGGACAUUCUUUUUGCCUCCUCCCUCCUUAUGUUUCUCUGUGGCCCUUAUGGCACCGGACUCUGGCAUAUUUUGCUGAUUUCGUCACCGUCUCCGACCCCGUUAGAAUGUGAGUUCUGGGGUGCAGGGGUUUCGCGGGGCUGGGUUCCCAGGACGAGGACAGUGUUGGGUGUGGCGUGUGAUCCGUGCUCAGGAAAUGCAAGUUGAGUGCGAGGGAACCUGGCGUCCGGGCUCCCAGCCGUCUCAUCCCCACAGCUCUUCGCAGCCACUUUUGCACGCUGCUGACUGAUGGCCCACGGUGGCCCACCUUGUCUGGGCCAGUGGCUUCCCCCACCUGCCAAGCCCUCCCUCCUCCCGUCUGCACAUUCAACUCUGUCUUUCAGCUUCCAGAUCAGCUCUCCAGAGGAGCUGCCUCUGACCUCGAACCCAGAAGCAGCCUUGGGCUGUGCAGGUCUGGCCCGGUGCCUGGCUGUAUGCCCUGUGGCCGCCCCGUGGCCGCCCCGUGGCACUCACCACCGGUCCAGGCAGUGAGCGCUUCUGCUCCGUGACUUCCUCCACUGGACUGCGACCCUCUCCAGGUCAGCGUGACUUUUGCUCGUCUUAUUCCCCAUGGAGGGGACACGUGGCGUUACUCCGUGGACGUCUGUUGAGUGGGUAAAGCUGAAGGUUGAUGGCAGAGUAACGGGGGGGCUGGGAGGUGGAUGAUGAGGUGGCUGUGCUAGUCCAUCACCACGUGGCUCUGGGGAUAAGUGGCCAACACCAAGCUGGCAAGUGGUCUGCACAUUGAAUGUUAGAAAAUAAGUAAGUAGUGGGUUCGUGCCCAAGAAUCUGGAGAAGCACUUAGAGGAGACAGUGUGUGCCAGGUUCCCGGGUCACCGCCGAGGCGGCCGCGAGAGCGGGCGCAGGGAGCAGGGGCCAGGUGAGGGGAGCCCCGGGGUCUGGCAGGACCCGAAGGCGCUGGCUUUCUUUGGACGACGUGUACGGAUUCGGCGAGGCUGCGGUGGCGUGCCGAGGGCGCGUUAAUGUGUAACCGCGGGCACAAGUCUCUGCAAGGCACCCGGGUCUGCACCAGUGCCGAACGGGGCGUCUGCUGGCCGCUUACCCACCAGGAUUGCCGUGCAGGGGCCGCAGGCCUGCCGGCAGAGCACGUGAGCAGGAGAGAGAACAUUCCUCCUGCCUGGCCAUGUGGAAACGUGUAUUUUUCCGCAGCCUCAUGAACGCAAAGUGAGUUCAGACCGAGUGAGUGAAUCUGAGACUAUAAAAGGGAUGGACAGAUGGACAGAUGGACACAGGACAGGUUGGUCCUGUGAUGAGUUUGUAAAUCUGGCUGUGUAAACAUCCAGCCCGGCCGCUCCGAAAAGCCCGGCCCCUGGCACGCUGGCCACAGGAGACCCUGCCCAGCUCCCCAGUACCCGGAGGCCAGCUGACCCCGGGCGGGCCCACUGCUCACAAGCCCCCCCUUGAGCCCCGCUGACCCUUCCUGGAGCAGAAUGUAGAGGAACACGGAACCGUUGAGUGGCUCAGAACGAUUGAGGAAGCCUAUGCUUUGGACCAGGGGGCCCGGCUGCAUAAACAGAGCCCCUGGGCCCGGGCCAGGCCUGCCUCCUGUGUCUCUGGAACGCGAACCCCGGGCACCUGCAGGGCCCCGCGCAGAGCUGGGACUCGCAGGGCUGGUGGCACAGGAGCGGGAAGGAGAACCGAGCUGUCGAAGGACCUGGGGAUGUGGCCCUCAUGAGUCUGUCUUCCCUAAGGAGCACCCACGGGUGUGGGCCACGCUGCCUGCAGCAGAGCCGUGGAUGUGUGUUCCUAUCCCUCCCCUGCAGGGCUCCGGAGUCCCAGAGCCGGGGAGGGGGGCUCCCUGGACGGGUGGACGGGGGCAGGCCUGACGGGGCUGCGUGUUGGCUCAGCUAGAAUUAGGACCACCCAGAUGCCCAGUGAAACGUGGAUUUCGGACAACAGACAGUGGGAUUGUGCUUACGAAACAUUUGAGAUUCACGUAUACUAAAACGUGAUUCGUCGCCAGUAUUUCACGCAUCCACCUGUCGAUUGCUCAGUCUUGCCACCAGGGCCAGAAACACGGUUCUCCUGGACCUGUGCCGUGGCCGGGGCCCUGCCUGUAAUGGCUACUUUCAGGAGGUGGCCCCCCCCACCGGUUCCCCCGGUUCCACACCUGGAUCCCCACCUCAGUUGGCCUUCCCACAAGCUGUUGGGAACUGGUUACAGCGCCCGAGAACCGCUGAUCCGUCUCCCGUGGGAAGGCAGCUGGGUCGGGAUGACCGAGGUGGUGACAGAGAUGGGAAGGUAUCAGGGACCGGGGGUGUGUGGGCCUCGGUUUCCGGCCCUUCUGGUGUUCUCCUCAGCUCCAGGCUCAGGGCCACCAUGGCCAUGCUCAGAGGGGGUGCAGCUCCGGCCUCUGACCUGACCGGACCCUGUCGAGAAUUCCUGAAGACAGAGUGACGGGGGGGGGUCACCCCCUUCCCGGCCCCGUAAGUUAUUAGUGCUGACAGGGAACACAGGGAGUGGGUGGGACCCUCCCCUGCAGACGGGCAGCUGAGGCUGGCGGCUAAAGGGAGCACUGGCUAGUGAGCCUCUCCCUCCUCCCACCCUCCCGUCUCCCCGUCGUCCGGGGCGGGUGUGCCGUUCAGGACUAGUGCUCUGUGACGUAGCCAGGGGUUGGAGGCCGUGUUUGCAAGGUACCUACGGCAACAAUGUAUCUCUUCAGAGCGACACGAGGCAGUGUGAGGAGACCAGGUGGCACUGACAGUUCAUUUGUGGAAAAGGACGUGGCCCUCGUUAUAACGCAAAGUGGCCGUAUGGCCUGGAUCUAGAGGACAAGAGGAAUCAGCUGCUCGCAAUGACCGACUGAGCCAAAUGCGAAGAUAUCAGGCAGGCCCUGACCUUCAUGCUUCGACAGGUCCUGACAAGUGACAGGCACGUGGGCAGCCUAUCAGGUCCACACGUUUCCUGCAAUCCCCCAGUCGGCAAGGCCCUAAGGACCGGGCGCCUGGCCCACCUUGUCCGGUAACUUGAGUCCGGCUCCGCCCUUCGCCUGUGUGGACCGCGGUGGCCUCUGCUCGGCGGGGUGGCCGCAUCUGCUCCCGGCUCCGGGAGGUCUGCUAAAGCCCAUUCAGGUGCACCGCUGGCAGGUCAGGUGGUCCACGUGCCGAGGGGAGGAGACAGCGUCCUUACCCGGUUUCUGCUUCAUUCACGGUUGGAGCUGACGAAUUCUACAGGCUCCCUUUGGCCGGGGGUAAAACAUUGAUUUCCUACCUGCGUGGGCACAUCUGUGACGCACUCCUUAAGGUUUUACCUGGCAAGCCCACGGAGUUGUGCUUUUCUUCCCGGAACGUUCUUCUUCAUAUGUUCCCGCUGUAGUUAAGGGAGCAGGAGUGGCAUGGAGCUGUUUGCUGUGACUGAAGACGUGCCAGGCAGAGUGGCAUUCGGGGGAAGGUGGCAAACAGACUGAGGAUAGGGGCUGUGUUAUUUGGAGUGUCGGUUUUACUUGUUCUAAGAAAACAAGCGUGUUUUGUCCGGAAUGCUGCGGAUUCCGUAUUCAUUUCCUUGAUGGAACGGCAGGGUCCCCGAAACACCAUUUCUUUGGAUUGUUUGAUCCUUAGCUUGGAAAGGUUGGGAACCCACGGGAUCUGAACCCCAGACGCGCAUCCAGCCAGAAGGUCUGGUUUUGUUUCCCCUGACACAUUGAUUUGGCCUGGGAAAGGUCGCUGUCCUGGGACACACAGAAAGCUUUCGGAUACGCGUGGCAGUGCUGUGAGCUGGAGUCCGGGAGACCGUGUAUUGAGAUGCUCGGUUGGGUCGCAGGCAGAGUUGUCUUGUUGGGGACGGUGUUUCCAAGACAACGACCGGUGGUUAAGAGGUGAUGAUUCAAAAAAAAAGCCUUCACCUGUGCUCGCCCGGCUUUCAUCUUUCGCAGACAAAGCAGGCUGGGGCUUGGGCCUCGGUCUGUGGCAUGCUUAGGGCCCGGGUAUUAAAGGGGCUGGAUCACCCUCAGGCUUUUAAGGGUUUUUUUGGGUUAAAUUGAUGAGCAUGUAUAAUAAAUUGAAGCUUUGUUGUUUGGCGGAUUUUUUUCUCUAUUUGUUAUUUUAUCAGUUAAGAGAAGGGGGUGGGGGGGGGCGUUCGUCUCUCCUCCCACAUCUCAGAUUUGCCUUGAGAUUUGUCAUCGACUGGGAUGGGCUUGGAUAUGACUAGCAUUUUUGUAUGUGUCUGUUUCUCCAAGUUGCCUGGAAUCCAAGCACCCGAGUGUCUAGAUGGCCGGUGUGUAGAGUCUUGACAGGGUUUGCACAGGGCCCAGGGGACCGGUGUCCCCUGUGUCCCUCCAUGGCGAGGGCCUGACCUGUCCUCGCAGGGGACACACCCAGCAGAUUCUUCUCUGAUGCAAAUUGGGACUUCAUUUAUGUCAGUCUGUCAUUUUCUUCUGUUUAUUUGUGUCUUUGGAAUUUUGUCUUGUUCAAAGCAGAACUGAAUGAAUUUAGUGAGCGUGUGAGUUUUUGGGACUGCUUGCCUUUGGGGAGCAGUGUGGCUCAGAAGGGCCAGGCCCACGCAGUGCCCGCACUGGUCAGCCUGUGAGCAGUCAGUUUCAGACGAGCCUGUCUGGGCUACAAACACGCUGUGUAAACACAGGGCACUCGGGAACACGCGGCAUUCUGCGGAAGGGGCCGUUUAAAGCAGGCUGUUCCGCGUACCCCCCCCCCCAUGCUUCUAUGACGUGUGUGUGCGAACGUAUCGAUAUGUGCCUUUUGGGGUGGGGGGCGGGCACUUUUACCAGAUACUUUCUUUUUCCUUCUACUAGGGCGCCAUGCUCGAGGGGGUGUGGAAAAGCCGCCGAAUACACAGGAAGGUUGUGUUGACUUUGUUCUCAGCCUUCACUCUUUUCCUUGGGCCAAGGUGACGGAGCUCUCUGCCCGUACUUGCCGAAGCGCCCGACUCCCCUUGUUUCAUUCUUUGUAAAUAAAACAGACUUCCCUCUUCCCUGCACCAUGGCUCGCUCCUAGUUUCCUCCACGGCUACAAUUCAGUCUAAUCGUAUCUCUUGGAAAUAAUAUGAGAAAGUUAUGCUGUUUUACUCCAUCAGAUUUAAUAAGUUUGGAUGCUUUCCAAGUACUCGGCAUUAAUCACACUUAAACCCAGGGCUUGAUAGUUCAUCCACCCGGAGUAUUCAUGUCAGAGACAUAAAACAAUCUGCUUUAAUGCCUACAGUUCCCUUUAAAUUGAGCACUUGCCUUGUGUUAAUAAAACUUGCUUUGUAUUGAGGGGCAGUACAACGGGCGAAGACUGGGGGUGGGGAUUUUUAUGUCACGUAAAGCGUUUCAUGGCCGAAUUUUCCUUUCCUGUUUUAAAGCUUUGCAGAAUUACAUGAAAAAAAAAAAAAAAGGAAUAAGGUAGGCUCAGAAUAACGAGGAAUUAGUCAGCUUGGCAGUCUCCAGAGCUUGGUUUCCAUCAGAGAGAUGACGUGGCCCUGACAAUUGGACAACACUCUUGAUGUUGCUCCUGUGUUCCAUUCUGGGAGUGACGCUGUGACACUGGACGCUGGUGUUUGCCCAUGUUCCAGGAGGAGGGUACGAUGCCCGCCGUCCGCGCCACCUGCCACAGUCGCGGGCUGCAGGGAUGCACACAGACCAGGCCAACGUUCAGAAGUACUGUCUUCGUCACCAGCAUGUGACCGUCCUUUUAAGUGGGAAGUGUCCUGCCUCUUCUCCACCCCCGUGACGAUGUGAAGAGAGUGGUUUCUUGAGCAUCUUUCUUCUUUUGGGCAUGGAAGUCUUCAUCUUGUAGCAGAGUUGCUUUAAUAUUUCAUCAGAGUGACGGAAGUUUCCACUUGUUCGUAUUUUCUUGAGGAUCCCUCCAUGGCGUGAGGGGAGGUUUGCUCCGGGGACGAAGGGAGCACAGAGAACAUGAACUCUGCCAGAGGUAGGCACUGACUGAUCCUGGGGAUGGCUCUCAGGUGGCUUUCCAUCCUUAGUCCACAGAGCGUGGUCACUGUGGGUGGCCUGCCAGGCUCUGAGGCAGAAAUACCUGUCAGCCAACACAUAUCCCAAGACCACGUGCUUUGUACUUAACUACCCUAGGAAGCACCCAGAUCGUAUGGGUACGGACUCUGCUACAAGACAUUCUAAACUCCAAGCCACGCAAGGUUUGAUAAGUAAUUGCUGACUGGCGUGUGCCCAUGAUGACUUCAGUGCAGUUCUGAGAAGGGGUGGACGAGGCUUGGGUGUUGGGUAGCCUCCCAGCAAGUGGUUGGUGUUUAAGGGUGCUGGCCCUUCCUCUGGCCUCACGCACUGAACCCAGCUGGUUCAUGCAUGACUUGGCCACUAGGGGAGUUUUCUGGAAGUGUAUUUUAUGUCAUCGGAUGAAGCCUACACACGCAAGAAAUCUCCAUUUCAAUCCGCGAAUACAGGACACUGCCUGGUCUGAAACCAACCAACAAGCAAACGGACGAGUUGGACGAUUGUGGUAGAGAAGGGCAUCCACUCUGUAGCGAGGGCUCAGCCUCAGCAGAUGAGACACCGCACAGUUACUUUCUUUUUUUUAAAUUUUUUUUUAUUAACGUUUAUUUAUUUUUGAGACAGAGAGACAGAGCAUGAACGGGGGAGGGUCAGAGAGAGAGGGAGACACAGAAUUGG